AAAAACUCAUAAGGCUCGUAUAAAGUUGAGGAUAUGGCUCAGAUGUUUCUACCAGGUAACCGUAAAUUGCCUGACUACGGGUGAAAUUGUU
rnacentral:ncRNA from 1 species